rnacentral:rRNA from 1 species
UACGAAGGAGGCUAGCGUUGCUCGGAAUCACUGGGCGUAAAGGGUGCGUAGGCGGGUCUUUAAGUCAGGGGUGAAAUCCUGGAGCUCAACUCCAGAACUGCCUUUGAUACUGAAGAUCUUGAGUCCGGGAGAGGUGAGUGGAACUGCGAGUGUAGAGGUGAAAUUCGUAGAUAUUCGCAAGAACACCAGUGGCGAAGGCGGCUCACUGGCCCGGUACUGACGCUGAGGCACGAAAGCGUGGGGAGCAAACAGG